rnacentral:rRNA from 1 species
UCGAGGAUCUUCGGCAAUGGGCGCAAGCCUGACCGAGCGACGCCGCGUGCGCGAUGAAGGCCUUCGGGUUGUAAAGCGCUGUCGAGGGGGAGGAAAGCCCGCAAGGGUCUGACCUAUCCCUGGAGGAAGCACGGGCUAAGUUCGUGCCAGCAGCCGCGGUAAGACGAACCGUGCAAACGUUGUUCGGAAUCACUGGGCUUAAAGGGCGCGUAGGCGGGCAAGUAAGUCCGGGGUGAAAUCUUUCGGCUUAACCGGAAAAGUGCCUUGGAUACUGCUUGUCUGGAGGGAGGUAGGGGCAUGUGGAACUUCUGGUGGAGCGGUGAAAUGCGUUGAUAUCAGAAGGAACGCCGGUGGCGAAAGCGACGUGCUGGACCUCUUCUGACGCUGAUGCGCGAAAGCUAGGGGAGCAAACGGGAUUAGAUACCCCCGUAGUCC